rnacentral:rRNA from 1 species
UACGAAGGGGGCUAGCGUUGCUCGGAAUCACUGGGCGUAAAGGGCGCGUAGGCGGCCGAUUAAGUCGGGGGUGAAAGCCUGUGGCUCAACCACAGAAUUGCCUUCGAUACUGGUUGGCUUGAGACCGGAAGAGGACAGCGGAACUGCGAGUGUAGAGGUGAAAUUCGUAGAUAUUCGCAAGAACACCAGUGGCGAAGGCGGCUGUCUGGUCCGGUUCUGACGCUGAGGCGCGAAAGCCGGGGGAGCGAACAGG